rnacentral:rRNA from 1 species
CCUACGGGAGGCAGCAGUGAGGAAUAUUGGUCAAUGGACGAGAGUCUGAACCAGCCAAGUAGCGUGAAGGAUGACUGCCCUAUGGGUUGUAAACUUCUUUUAUAUGGGAAUAAAAUGUUCCACGUGUGGGAUUUUGUAUGUACCAUAUGAAUAAGGAUCGGCUAACUCCGUGCCAGCAGCCGCGGUAAUACGGAGGAUCCGAGCGUUAUCCGGAUUUAUUGGGUUUAAAGGGAGCGUAGGUGGAUUGUUAAGUCAGUUGUGAAAGUUUGCGGCUCAACCGUAAAAUUGCAGUUGAAACUGGCAGUCUUGAGUACAGUAGAGGUGGGCGGAAUUCGUGUUGUAGCGGUGAAAUGCUUAGAUAUCACGAAGAACUCCGAUUGCGAAGGCAGUUCACUGGACUGCAACUGACACUGAGGCUCGAAAGUGUGGGUAUCAAACAGGAUUAGAUACCCGUGUAGUC